GACGAGCGGCGGANGGGUGAGUAAUGCAUAGGAAACUGCCCNGUANUGGGGGAUAGCCCGGGGAAACCCGGAUUAAUACCNCGUACGCCCUUCGGGGGAAAGCAGGGGAUCUUCGGACCUUGCGCUAUUGGAUGUGCCUAUGUCGGAUUAGCUAGUUGGUGGGGUAAAGGCCUACCAAGGCGACGAUCCGUAGCUGGUCUGAGAGGAUGAUCAGCCACAUCGGGACUGAGACACGGCCCGAACUCCUACGGGAGGCAGCAGUGGGGAAUAUUGGACAAUGGGGGCAACCCUGAUCCAGCCAUGCCGCGUGUGUGAAGAAGGCUUUCGGGUUGUAAAGCACUUUCAGUGAGGAGGAAAACUCUGCGACUAAUACUCGUAGGGCUUGACGUUACUCACAGAAAAAGCACCGGCUAACUCCGUGCCAGCAGCCGCGGUAAUACGGAGGGUGCAAGCGUUAAUCGGAAUUACUGGGCGUAAAGCGCGCGUAGGUGGUUUGAUAANCGAGAUGUGAAAGCCCCGGGCUUAACCUGGGAACGGCAUUUCGAACUGUCAGGCUAGAGUAUGGNANANGGNNNNUNGAANUUUCCUGUGUANCGGUGAAAUGCGUAGAUAUAGGAAGGAACACCAGUGGCGAAGGCGGCUACCUGGACCAAUACUGACANUGAGGUGCGAAAGCGUGGGGAGCAAACAGGAUUAGAUACCNUGGUAGUNCACGCCGUAAACGAUGUNUNCUAGCCGUUGGGACUCUUGANGUNUUAGUGGCGCAGCUAACGCACUAAGUAGACCGCNUGGGGAGUACGGCCGCAAGGUUAAAACUCAAAUGAAUUGACGGGGGCCCGCACAAGCGGUGGAGCAUGUGGUUUANUUCGACGCAACGCGAAGAACCUUACCUGGCCUUGACAUGCAGAGAACUUUCCAGAGAUGGAUUGGUGCCUUCGGGAACUCUGACACAGNUGCUGCAUGGCCGUCGUCAGCUCGUGUCAUGAGAUGUUGGGUUAAGUCCCGUAACGAGCGCAACCCCUAUCCCUAGUUGCUAGCAGUUCGGUUGAGAACUCUAGGGAGACNGCCGGUGACAAACCGGAGGAAGGUGGGGAUGACGUCAGGUCAUCAUGGCCCUUACGGCCAGGGCUACACACCUGCUACAAUGGUGCGCACAGAGGGCUGCAAACCCGCGAGGGGGANNCNAUNNUCACAAAACGCAUCGUAGUCCGGAUCGCAGUCUGCAACUCGANUGCGUGAAGUCGGAAUCGCUAGUAAUCGUGAAUCAGAAUGUCACGGUGAAUACGUUCCCGGGCCUUGUACACACCGCCCGUCACACCAUGGGAGUGGAUUGCACCAGAAGUGGUUAGUCUANCCUUCGGGAGG
rnacentral:rRNA from 1 species